rnacentral:sRNA from 1 species
AUCAAAUUUCUCCUAUGUUUGGCACCUCUCAGAAUCUCUCCAUUUUAUCCUCAUCCCUACUAUCCAGCUUUCUACUUGGUUAAUUUAACAUCCUACCCCUGACUAGCUCUUUGCCUUUGUGGUUCAUUCAGCAAAUUUGCCAGGCAAGGUGCUAGGUGCUGUGGAUACAUUGAUGAACAAGACCCAGCUCCUACCUUCAAAUAGGUCAUAGUUUAAUGUAAUGGAUUUCUUCUAGAAUAUGAAAACUUCGGACCUUCUCUGCAGAAAAAUGCAUGCAAACAUUUUACAUUAAUUUUCAAACAUUCACUACUUCUCUGAAAUCCAUCCAUGGACUCUAUCUAGGUCAGCAAUCCUUGGCUGAUUAAUGGGUCACCUGUGGGACAACCAUAUUCUUUCGUCAAUAGUCCCCUUCUGGAAUCAUCCCUUGGAACAUGAGAAUGGCAGAUCUAGAAACUAGUUAUUGAGAGUUUCUUUUGGACAAUAACCAUCUCUUUUGGGUGGGUCUGUUAGGGUGUUCUAGGACUAACAUAACAUUGUUCUUUCUUCUUAGCUCAACGUUGACAGUAAUGAACAAGGCUCCUAUGUAGUGGCCAUGGAAACCUUUACCAACUUAGGACCCAUUGUCGAUAUGUGCGUGGUGGACCUGGAGAGGCAGGGGCAGGGGCAGCUGGUCACUUGCUCUGGGGCUUUCAAGGAAGGUUCUUUGCGGAUCAUCCGGAAUGGAAUUGGAAUCCACGAGCAUGCCAGCAUUGACUUACCAGGCAUCAAAGGAUUAUGGCCACUGCGGUCUGACCCUAAUCGUGAGACUGAUGACACUUUGGUGCUCUCUUUUGUGGGCCAGACAAGAGUUCUCAUGUUAAAUGGAGAGGAGGUAGAAGAAACCGAACUGAUGGGUUUCGUGGAUGAUCAGCAGACUUUCUUCUGUGGCAACGUGGCUCAUCAGCAGCUUAUCCAGAUCACUUCAGCAUCGGUGAGGUUGGUCUCUCAAGAACCCAAAGCUCUGGUCAGUGAAUGGAAGGAGCCUCAGGCCAAGAACAUCAGUGUGGCCUCCUGCAAUAGCAGCCAGGUGGUGGUGGCUGUGGGCAGGGCCCUCUACUAUCUGCAGAUCCAUCCUCAGGAGCUCCGGCAGAUCAGCCACACAGAGAUGGAACAUGAAGUGGCUUGCUUGGACAUCACCCCAUUAGGAGACAGCAAUGGACUGUCCCCUCUUUGUGCCAUUGGCCUCUGGACGGACAUCUCGGCUCGUAUCUUGAAGUUGCCCUCUUUUGAACUACUGCACAAGGAGAUGCUGGGUGGAGGUAUGUGUCAUUUAGGGACCUGGGUUGGGACAGAGUCAAAAUGUGGAACAAGAACAUAAUGUCCCCCUUUCUCACAGAGAUCAUUCCUCGCUCCAUCCUGAUGACCACCUUUGAGAGUAGCCAUUACCUCCUUUGUGCCUUGGGAGAUGGAGCGCUUUUCUACUUUGGGCUCAACAUUGAGACAGGU